AACGUAGGAGACAAACGUUAUCCGGAGUUACUGGGCGUAAAGGGCGUGUAGGUGGUAUCGUAAGUCUGGCGUGAAAUUUCUCGGCUUAACCGAGGCAGGUCGUCGGAUACUGCGAGGCUAGAGGACGGUAGAGGCGUGUGGAAUUCCGGGUGUAGUGGUGAAAUGCGUAGAGAUCCGGAGGAACACCAGUGGCGAAGGCGGGCAUCUGGGCUAACACUGACGCUGAGGCGCGAAAGCUAGGGGAGCAAACAGG
rnacentral:rRNA from 1 species